GCCCCAAUAGCUCAGCUGGCAAGAGCGUUGCCGUGGUAAGGCAGAGGUCACGCGUUCGAAUCGCGUUUGGGGCU
rnacentral:tRNA from 1 species